UCUCCGUUGGUGAACCAGCGGAGGGAUCAUUACCGAGUUUACAACUCCCAAACCCAAUGUGAACGUUACCAAACUGUUGCCUCGGCGGGAUCUCUGCCCCGGGUGCGUCGCAGCCCCGGACCAAGGCGCCCGCCGGAGGACCAACCAAAACUCUUUUGUAUACCCCCUCGCGGGUUUUUUAUAUCUGAGCCAUCUCGGCGCCUCUCGUAGGCGUUUCGAAAAUGAAUCAAAACUUUCAACAACGGAUCUCUUGGUUCUGGCAUCGAUGAAGAACGCAGCGAAAUGCGAUAAGUAAUGUGAAUUGCAGAAUUCAGUGAAUCAUCGAAUCUUUGAACGCACAUUGCGCCCGCCAGUAUUCUGGCGGGCAUGCCUGUCCGAGCGUCAUUUCAACCCUCGAACCCCUCCGGGGGGUCGGCGUUGGGGAUCGGCCCUUUACGGGGCCGGCCCCGAAAUACAGUGGCGGUCUCGCCGCAGCCUCUCCUGCGCAGUAGUUUGCACACUCGCAUCGGGAGCGCGGCGCGUCCAUUGCCGUAAAACACCCAACUUUCUGAAAUGUUGACCUCGGAUCAGGUAGGAAUACCCGCUGAACUUAA
rnacentral:rRNA from 1 species